UGGCACCGUGGUGUGUGCCUCUGGGCCCAGCUACCCAGACGCUCAGGAGGGAGCAGUCCCUGGAGCCCAGGCCAGAUUAAAGCUUCCACAGUUCAUGCCAUGAAGACGUGGAGUUGCUGCGAAUCUGUCUCCCACAGCCUUUUGGCAGGAGCGCCCACUGUUCCCUGACAACAGUGAGGACAAAGGUCCUGAUGUCACCGAGGGCACCCUGGUCAGCCUGGGCGACACCACUCACCACCCCAGCCCUGGCCCUCGCGACCGUCGCUCUUCACAGGCUGGAAACCCAGGGGUGGCACACAGCCAGGCACCAGUCCCAAACCCAAGCCCGCGCUGCCCAUGCUGGCUCCUCCCCCGCGUUCCCUUCCUCCGGGUCUGUUCAGCCAGCUUCAGAGGCCCAAGGAGGGUGGUUGAGAGCACAGGCUCUGUCACUUACUGGCUGAGUGACUUCAUGCAAGUUUCCUUUCCUUGCCUGUCAAAACCCCAUGGAGCUGGCACAGGAUUAAAUGAGGCAACAGGUAUCAAGUGCCAAGGCACAGCGGGGAAGUGUAGCCACCACUGACUUCACAGCACCCCCAACCCUGCCCCGAAGUCCUCCUCAGGUCUGGCUUUCCAGCCGGUUUACAGGCCAGUGAAGGUCGGCACUGCUCUUCGGACUGGCGCUGGGGUUUGUGUUUUGUCUGCUCCGCUGCACACACUGAGCUUGGUGAGCGCUGAGCCCCAUCGGACGGUGUGGGUUUCACAGCCUGCAACCCUUCCACGCCAACAGCUGCUGCGUGAAGGCGUCCUGUGCGUGCAGCCCCUCUGCGGAGCUGCCCCACAGUCCCACCUCCGCCUUUUCACUCGAAUUCACUCCUCGUACCCGCUACACAGGCUCUCCGCGCUCACUUAUCCAGGCUGACCCGUGUCACUGCUAGGGUUGGCCUCCUCGGUUUGAGUCCCAGCGCCCAGUCCUAGCUAAUGAAGGAGAAAAGCACCGGGCUAAGGAAAAGAGGGACACCCGCCACGGCCCCGCGCAGCCGCCACACCGGGAGGGCUGCCACCGGGACGCGGCCGAGAGCUCACUGCCCGCGAAGCACCCUCGAGCUCUCAAAUCCCACGCAAGCCGACCUGCGUCAUGGUCCCUUCCCGGCAAGCAGCCCGUCCU